rnacentral:rRNA from 1 species
UACAGAGGUCCCAAGCGUUGUUCGGAUUCACUGGGCGUAAGGGUGCGUAGGCGGUCGGGUAAGUCUGAUGUGAAAUCUCCAAGCUCAACUUGGAAAUGGCAUCGGAUACUAUUCGGCUCGAGGAAUGGAGGGGAGACUGGAAUACUUGGUGUAGCAGUGAAAUGCGUAGAUAUCAAGUGGAACACCAGUGGCGAAGGCGAGUCUCUGGACAUUUCCUGACGCUGAGGCACGAAAGCCAGGGGAGCAAACAGG